ACUUGAUCCCCAUCCAGAUGAAUUAAGUCAGAAUCUGAGGUGGGGCCUACACUGGUAGUUUGAAAAAUACCUCCAAGUGAUUACAGCACACAGCCGGCACCAAGAAUCACUCAUUUUUUUUUUCUUUGAAACAGAGAGAGAAUGCGCUUAUUGGAGUGGGGCAGGGAGAGAAGGGGACAGAGGAUCCAAAGCUAUGCUGACGGCAGAGAGCUGGACGCGGGGCUGGAAACCACGAAUCGGGGCCACAGCAGAACUCACAGUGACGAUGCCGUGGGCAGGACGUUCACAGAGGCAGCCAGCUUCCUCUCCAGGAUAGCCCUAAAGCAGACAGAGAGAGAGACCGUUACCGAGACUAGAGGUUGGAUUCCUGGUCUGACAGCCUGAUUCCUGUGCAGAGCCCUGGCGAACACAAUCAAAUGUGCUUGUAUGAGUGCAGGUGUCACGGACACGAGCACCACCAAAUCAUCCAUGCGAAGUGGUGUUCCCGGGCCUCAAACCCUCACGCCCUCAGAACCAGGCAGUCCUUGACAGACAUUUCUCAGGUCUCAGGCAGCCCCGGGGGCCUGGUCUGUACUCUGAAGUGCCUGGACCCUGCCAGGGAAACCUCACCUGAGCCCUGCUCACUUCACUGAUCCCUCCUGCCCUCAGCUGCUGCCAAGAGAACUGACCUACUUGCUCUUCGUGAGUUCCAGGCUCAACAUUGCUCUAUUUAAGCCUCUGCAUUAAUGUGACAGUCCCUUGGAAAGUUCCAGAGAUAAAUAAAUCCCUGACUGUAAGGAGAGA